UCCAUCACCCACAUGGCUGCUUCCUGGGGGAGAGAUGCCUCCAUUUGCUGAGCAGCAUUUCUUCAGCAUAUGCAUGUAUUCUGAGCCCUUCACUUCAGUGCUCUCAUUUACUGUCCAACAUAAACCACAGCGACAGCCCUGGAAUAGAUACUAUUCUCUCCCUUCUUACAUGAAGGUCCCCCAGUCAGGAGGAGUCUAGGAGCAGAUGUGAAAACAGGGUUAGUCUUGCUCCAGGGCGCGUGUUUUCAGUCGUGACCUUGGCCCUGCCGCUCAGAGAAUGCUCACAGCCACGACUCUGGAGUCUCCCACAGUGCCUGACAUGCAGUGGAUUCAGUCUGAUGAGCUGCUGAAACAAGCAAUGAAGAACAUCAACUGAGUGAUAAGGAACAGCUUCGAGUGAGGACAGGAGCAGCACCUCUGGUCUCUACCUUUGAUUUCAUGCCUCUUUCUUAAUUAUGGGAGGUAUAACUGGAUAAUUUAUCUUUGGUGUCAUAUACUGUAUUAACCAUCUCUUCAUUGCUUACGAGGCCUUAUAACAAUACAGCGUUUGGUUUUGGGGUGUAAUGCAUGUCCCCAGGAUUCAUAGUUUGGAAGUGGAAUUCAGCAGUGAUGUGUCCUUCCUAGAAACUCUACAGUCCCGGGCAUGACUUAGCCAGUGAUUAGGAACAUUUGACCUGGUAUUAACAGAACAACAUUUAUAAAGUCCUGUUUUCAUGGGUUGGAGCAUCCUUGAUGGGCCAGAGUUUGGGCUGCUUCUUGACUGAAAUCGUUUAUUUCAUUCACAUCUUUAAAAAUCCUGGUGCCCACACAGCUCUGUGUCCUGGCGUGGAGCUGAUGUUCAGAACAUGUUUGCUUGAGAAUUCUCAAGGCUCCUGGAUGGUCUUUCCCUUCCCUGAUGUUUCCAGUGUUCACAACAACGUCAACAUCACCAGCAUAUAAACAGCUCUUUCCUGUUCCAAGAGCCAGAGAAGCAGUCCAGGAAAAAAUGGAUGGAGGCUAUAAAUAGGACAAUUUCGGAACAUGAAUUCUGCAAGGCCAGUAAUCAUGUGAAAUUUUCUUUCAAUGACACUGGAAACUGUCUUUCCAAAUAUACCGAUGAACGUAUUUAAAAGAGGACUUGCUACCCUUAUGCCUGCAUGGGUAUAGGCUGCCUGUGCUGGGAAGGCAGAGUUUUACAAAACUUCCUAUACCUUUUGGCACUUAAAACUACAUGUAAUGUUUUACUCUGCAAAUGCCGGCAAGGCAUCAUAUAAAAUUACAGCUGAAGGAGUGGAGGUGCUGCAAAAUGGAACAGGA